rnacentral:rRNA from 1 species
AGAGUUUGAUCCUGGCUCAGGAUAAACGCUGGCGGCGCACAUAAGACAUGCAAGUCGAACGGACGACUUUGAUUUGUUUUACUUAUCAAAGAAGUUAGUGGCGGACUGGUGAGUAACACGUAAGCAACCUGCCUACAAAAGGGGAACAACAGCGAGAAAUCGCUGCUAAUACCGCAUAAGCUAACGCCUUCGCAUGAAGAAGUUAGAAAAGGAGUAAUCCGUUUGUAGAUGGGCUUGCGUCUGAUUAGCUAGUUGGUGUGGUAACGGCAUACCAAGGCGACGAUCAGUAGCUGUGCUGAGAGGCAAAACAGCCACAUUGGGACUGAGAUACGGCCCAGACUCCUACGGGAGGCAGCAGUUGGGAAUAUUGCACAAUGGAGGAAACUCUGACGCAGUGACGCCGCGUAUAGGAAGAAGGUUUUCGGAUUGUAAACUAUUGUCGUUAGGGAAGAUAAAAGACAGUACCUAAGGAGGAAGCUCCGGCUAACUACGUGCCAGCAGCCGCGGUAAUACGUAGGGAGCAAGCGUUGUCCGGAUUUACUGGGUGUAAAGGGUGCGUAGGCGGCUUUGCAAGUCAGAUGUGAAAUCUAUGGGCUCAACCCAUAAACUGCAUUUGAAACUGUAGAGCUUGAGUGAAGUAGAGGCAGGCGGAAUUCCCCGUGUAGCGGUGAAAUGCGUAGAGAUGGGGAGGAACACCAGUGGCGAAGGCGGCCUGCUGGGCUUUAACUGACGCUGAGGCACGAAAGCGUGGGUAGCAAACAGGAUUAGAUACCCUGGUAGUCCACGCUGUAAACGAUGAUUACUAGGUGUGGGGGGUCUGACCCCUUCCGUGCCGGAGUUAACACAAUAAGUAAUCCACCUGGGGAGUACGGCCGCAAGGUUGAAACUCAAAGGAAUUGACGGGGGCCCGCACAAGCAGUGGAGUAUGUGGUUUAAUUCGACGCAACGCGAAGAACCUUACCAGGUCUUGACAUCAAGUGACCGCCUAAGAGAUUAGGUUUUCCCUUCGGGGACACAAAGACAGGUGGUGCAUGGUUGUCGUCAGCUCGUGUCGUGAGAUGUUGGGUUAAGUCCCGCAACGAGCGCAACCCUUAUCAUUAGUUGCUACGCAAGAGCACUCUAAUGAGACUGCCGUUGACAAAACGGAGGAAGGUGGGGAUGACGUCAAAUCAUCAUGCCCUUUAUGACCUGGGCUACACACGUACUACAAUGGCGUUUAACAAAGAGAAGCAAAGCCGCGAGGCAGAGCAAAUCUCCAAAAAACGUCUCAGUUCGGAUUGUAGGCUGCAACUCGCCUACAUGAAGUCGGAAUUGCUAGUAAUCGUAGGUCAGCAUACUACGGUGAAUACGUUCCCGGGCCUUGUACACACCGCCCGUCAAACCAUGAGAGUUGGCAACACCCGAAGUCGGUAGUCUAACCGCAAGGAGGACGCCGCCGAAGGUGGGGUUGAUGAUUAGGGUUAAGUCGUAACAAGGUAGCCGUAUCGGAAGGUGCGGCUG